AACGUAGGACGGCAAGCGUUAUCCGGAGUUACUGGGCGUAAAGCGCGAGCAGGCGGCUCGAUGCGUCCGAUGUGAAAGCGCCCGGCUAAACCGGGCGAGGCCAUUGGAAACGGUCAAGCUGGAGGCAGUAGAGGCAGGCGGAAUCCGGGUGGAGUGGUGAAAUGCGUAGAGAUCCGGAGGAACACCAGAGGCGAAGGCGGCCUGCUGGGCUGCACCUGACGCUGGAGCCGCGAAAGCCAGGGAGCGAA
rnacentral:rRNA from 1 species